rnacentral:misc_RNA from 1 species
GAUGAAGAACGUAGCGAAAUGCGAUAAGUAGUGUGAAUUGCAGAAUUCCGUGAAUCAUCGAAUCUUUGAACGCACAUUGUGCCUCCUGGUAAUCCGUGAGGCAUGCCUGUCCGAGCGUCAGUAAAAAGCAACUCGGCCGCGGCUGGCGGUUGGUGAUGGAGGAAGAGCACGUCUCGUUGUCGGUCUCCCCUCCCAAAAUCAACGGCGGAAUGUCACUGGCACUCGGUGUUGUAGUAUUAUUCGCCGAUCACCCAUUGUUGUUCCUGCCGCCCAAACCCCCACAAUUCUCUUGAUUGACCUCGGAUCAGGUAGGGAUACCCGCUGAACUUAAGCAUAUCAAUAAGCGGAGGA